GGCUGACUAUUCUAUUCGCGCGCAUCAAAGAGCCGUCUCCUUCACGCUCUCUCUCUCUCUCUUUCUCUGGUUUCUCACGUAUUUUUUUUAAAAUGAAAAUGAAAAUAAAAAUAAAAUCACCUUCUAUCAUCCUCCUUUUCCAAUCACCACCUUCUAUCGCUGCUGGACUUAAUCUCGGUGCCAUCCCGUUCGGUGGAUUCAGUGAUCUGGAGGUACCUGCCUUCAAGGCGGCGAUUGAAGCGCAUCAAAGGAAGAUUACGGAGGCGAUUCUAGAACAUGCCUUGGAGAUUUGCCAUGAAAAGAAAGUAACUUUUGUUUCUGUCGUAUCAGCUUCAUGAGCUGCUAUCUCUAUUAAUUCGUUUUGCUAUUUUGUUGAGAAUUACUUUAACGCUCAGGAAAAUGUGAAAAUACAAGGGGUGAUGGGGGAUUCGAAGGAGAAGAUGUGUGAAGUUGUUGAGAAUCUACAUUCUGAUUUGCUUGUGAUGGGCUGUCGUUCUUUUGGCCCCUAUUAAAAGGAUGUUCUUGGGAAGUGUAAGCAAUUACUGCACCAACCAUGCACAAUGCCUUGUCAUUAUAGUUAAGGGAAAGGACCCUUCAUCAUAAACUAAACGAGGUAUGCUUCCUAAUACUACAGUGGACAAAUGACAGCACUUCAUGUCUUUAACCCUUCGAUUUAUGAUAUAUGAAUCAUCUAUAACCUCUUCAAUCUUCCAACAUUUAUUUUCUGUAUAUCUGUUCUAGCAAUUCAUUGUUAUACACUUAGAUAACUACUGUGGCAAUGGACACAAGGUGCAUAGUUUGCAUUCUUGAGUUACUUCAAGUUGAUAUCUUCUUCUGCAGAUAAAUUUGUUUUGAAAUCAAGCUUUCUUUCAAUUAUGCACUUGGCGAAUUCCAACUAGUCUGGGACUAGGGUUAGUUGAAUUGGAUUUGAUGCUGUUCUCGCAAACAACUAACUGCUUUAGAAUAUUAGUUUGGUUGAUACUAUGUGCCAUCGAGCAAUUAUUUCUAAGCCUGAAACUUUGAAUGAGUGGUUCCUAGAUUUCAUUAAUAAAUUAAACUGCAUAGGUCAGUGUUUUUUUAGAUGGAAAAGCUUCAUUGUCACACAUUCUUGGACAAAUUUUAUGUUCUACAUGGCAGGCAGAAACUUGAUGUUGUCUCUUUGGCAAAUAGGUUGCUGAGUGACUGGUUUUUGACUUGGAAAUCAAAAUUCGCAUAUUUUCACUUUGUUUCCAUAUAUAAUUUCCUAAUUGGAGAGCUAAUGUAUAGGAUGCCUAAGUGAUUGCACAAGUUAAAAUGCUAAAAUAAGCAAAACAUGUGCUUCGACAAAUUUUGGGUGCUCAAGUUUGCUUAUUUAAUGAACUAAAAGAAAGUCUAGGAAAAUUAGAACACGUAAAUACUUUCGCAUCAGUUCGGAUGGACUCUUUUUCGCUCAGUGGUACGAGCUUACUUUUAGUAUCUCUGGCACGUUUCUUGGUGCUUUUAACAGGAAUCCCCUAAUGCUUUUAAAACUGUGCUUGCACCAACAGUUUUUCAUGCUUAAGAUGAAAUUAUGCAGGUAAGAAUAUGUUUGGAAAAACCAUCUCCAGUGAAUUAGGUGGACUGCUGUAUAACUUGAAUCUCGACUUCUAAAUUGGAUCUCACUACGUUGAAUCUUACCACGCCAUUUAUAAAUUUCAUUCGCUUUUAGCUUUAGGUUAUAUCCUCUGGUUACGUCUAAUUCCAAUCAAAAUCAAUAUGGAAUGCUAUCGUGAUGCUGACCAAUACUGUUCUGUUAUUGGCUACAGUUCAUUGUGGAUGUGAUGGGAAAGAGUUUCAACCAGUUAUGUUGUCCUUCACUCUGUUUUGUAGAGUUUGUGAGUGAUUUUGGAGGAAAAGCUUGGUAGUGGGAUAUGGAUUCAUCUGUGCUUGCGCUAUUGCUGGGUGGCUGCUUCAGAGUCAACUUCUGUGUUGGUGCGUUUGAUUGUAAGUUUUGUAUACUGUUAUACUCGUACAUGAACUGCGGCAUUUCUGUUGCAUAAUAAUAACAUUACAAAACCCCCUCAUUCCUCCCUAUAAAAUAAAGCGAGCUCAAUAAUCUUCUCAA